AUGCACGCUGGCGGCGUGCCUAAUCCCUGCAAGUCGCGCGAACAGACGAGGAGCUUGCUCCUCUGACGUUAGCGGCGGACGGGUGAGUAACACGUGGAUAACCUACCUAUAAGACUGGGAUAACUUCGGGAAACCGGAGCUAAUACCGGAUAAUAUAUUGAACCGCAUGGUUCAAUAGUGAAAGACGGUUUUGCUGUCACUUAUAGAUGGAUCCGCGCCGCAUUAGCUAGUUGGUAAGGUAACGGCUUACCAAGGCAACGAUGCGUAGCCGACCUGAGAGGGUGAUCGGCCACACUGGAACUGAGACACGGUCCAGACUCCUACGGGAGGCAGCAGUAGGGAAUCUUCCGCAAUGGGCGAAAGCUUGACGGAGCAACGCCGCGUGAGUGAUGAAGGUCUUCGGAUCGUAAAACUCUGUUAUUAGGGAAGAACAAAUGUGUAAGUAACUAUGCACGUCUUGACGGUACCUAAUCAGAAAGCCACGGCUAACUACGUG
rnacentral:rRNA from 1 species